rnacentral:rRNA from 1 species
UACGGGGGGGGCAAGCGUUGUUCGGAAUUACUGGGCGUAAAGGGCUCGUAGGCGGCCAACUAAGUCAUACGUGAAAUCCCUCGGCUUAACCGGGGAACUGCGUCUGAUACUGGAUGGCUUGAGUUCGGGAGAGGGAUGCGGAAUUCCAGGUGUAGCGGUGAAAUGCGUAGAUAUCUGGAGGAACACCGGUGGCGAAGGCGGCAUCCUGGAUCGAUACUGACGCUGAGGAGCGAAAGCCAGGGGAGCAAACGGG